CCUACGGACGGCAGCAGUGAGGAAUAUUGGUCAAUGGGCGGAAGCCUGAACCAGCCAAGUAGCGUGCAGGAUGACGGCCCUACGGGUUGUAAACUGCUUUUAUACGGGAAUAACGCGCCUUACGUGUAGGGCUUUGCAUGUACCGUAUGAAUAAGGACCGGCUAAUUCCGUGCCAGCAGCCGCGGUAAUACUGAAGGUCCGGGCGUUAUACGGAUUUAUUGGGUGUAAAGGGAGCGUAGGCCGCAUGUCAAGCGUGCUGUGAAAUGUCCGGGCUCAACCCGGGCCUUGCAGCGCGAACUGGCGUGCUUGAGUCCGCGGAAAGCAGGCGGAAUUCGUCGUGUAGCGGUGAAAUGCUUAGAUAUGACGAAGAACCCCGAUUGCGAAGGCAGCUUGCUGCAGCGGAACUGACGCUGAUGCUCGAAAGCGCGGGUAUCGAACAGGAUUAGAUACCCUGGUAGUC
rnacentral:rRNA from 1 species